GUGAGGAGGUUCAACCGAUUUUAAGGAUGUAUGAAAAUGGUUUACGACGUUACAAUCCUGGUUGUACUGAUGAAGAUGUAGACAAUGAAGUUGAAAGAAAUUUUGCACAUUGGUUUAAAGAAUAUGUAUAUUGUCCAACGAACAAUGUGUGUAACCAAUCACUCAUUGAUUUGGCAUCUGGGCCGAUAAUGGAGGUUAACACAUACACUGGGUAUGUCGUUAAUGGUUUUAAGUUUCAGACUGAAGAAUAUUGCCGUAGA